rnacentral:piRNA from 1 species
UGUGUUCUAGGGUGAUGAACUUUCCUGCA